rnacentral:tRNA from 1 species
UAGAAGAUACGGCUACGAAGCCUGAUUUGAACUCAGGAACAGGGCGUUCAACUCGCCCAUCUUCU